CCUACGGGUGGCAGCAGUGAGGAAUAUUGGUCAAUGGACGCGAGCCUGAACCAGCCAAGUAGCGUGAAGGAUGACUGCCCUACGGGUUGUAAACUUCUUUUAUAAAGGAAUAAAGUGAGGCACGUGUGCCUUUUUGUAUGUACUUUAUGAAUAAGGAUCGGCUAACUCCGUGCCAGCAGCCGCGGUAAUACGGAGGAUCCGAGCGUUAUCCGGAUUUAUUGGGUUUAAAGGGAGCGUAGGUGGGCUGUUAAGUCAGUGGUGAAAGUUUGAGGCUCAACUGUAGAAUUGCAAUUGAUACUGGCAGUCUUGAGUACAGUUGAGGUAGGCGGAAUGCGUGGUGUAGCGGUGAAAUGCUUAGAGAUCACGCAGAACACCGAUUGCGAAGGCAGCUUACCAAGCUGCCACUGACAUUGAUGCUCGAAAGUGUGGGUAGCAAACAGGAUUAGAUACCCUUGUAGUC
rnacentral:rRNA from 1 species